rnacentral:lncRNA from 1 species
CAAAAUUUAUACAAACUCUACCCAGAAAGCAGCCAGCCUUCUUCUUUGACCAUGCCUGCUUGGCUUACCGCCUCUUUGCUUCUUUUUUCUCCAUGCAGUUGCUCUAGGCAAGGCUGCAGGGAGACCAGCGAAUGAAUGCAGGCUGUUGUGGCCACGCGAGGAGUCGAGGUGACAUGCCUGUGCAAAAGGACAAGGAUUUAUGGCAAUGUGCACUCACUCAAUUUAAGAUCUGUUUUGAUCCUGAAGGGCUGGAAAAACAUGUUAAUCUAUCACCUCUCUGCUUUUGAAGUCCCUCCCACAGCCUGUGAAGUCUAUAAAUCCCAGCCUGCUCCAUUCUAAUCACUUUAACUUCAAAGAAGGUAGAUCAUGUUCAAUUUUUUUGCCAUCAUUUUCAAUUCUCUGUUUAUUCUAGGCUUUAUGUUCCCUUUGUAAAACUCUUUCAGACAUUCUUGUUUUGGCUAAUCUGCAUAGUACAUAUGUGCAGCAUGUUGGNNNNNNNNNNNNNNNNNNNNNNNNNNNNNNNNNNNNNNNNNNNNNNNNNNGCACCCUCAGAGCUCACAAGAGUCAUACUUCCUUUGGUUCAGCCCCACGCCUCUAGCCAAAAACACUUGCAAACUCCGUAGCUAUCACAAAAAUUGCAGGCACUUAAACCCCCAAGACGUAGGAAGUAUUUCUCUUACAUGCCUCUCACAUUUACUUUGUCUUUAAAUUUUGAUUAUGUUAGGAAAAAUGCAGUUUUCUUUGUUCUUAAUGAUAUACAAUUAACAUGCUACAGGCUAUAAUUAAAAUAGAGAUUUUCGCUUAGCCCAUGUUUUAGGCAAAACCAUCAUUACUUUUAAAAAUACAUUAGAACACGUUUGCUUAAAUACUGCUUGAGAUAAGGCAUCAAACAUAAAAACACUCCAGGAAUUUCCAGGGAAGUUUAUAAUACACCUUAGUAGUAACUAAGGCUCAGUUCUAAGUAUUUUCUUGUGUGUGUAAUCUUGCUGAGAGUGAUAGAAGUUUCCACGGUAAAGAUUUUAGGCAGCCUUGUCAAUAUAUAGAAUGCCUUUGGGAGAAAAGUUAGGACAAAAUGGUUCAAAAUAAUUCAUAGAGGAUUUUCUUGUCUCCCAGUUGGAGCAGAAUGAAAAUUAAUAAAAUGGCAAAUGAAAAUCUGGCAAAGUUCCUUCUUUCUCUGCAACUUCUUGUCACUCAAAUGUACAGAUGUGUAGUGCCC